CACCCCGAACGUGCUCUUGCCUGCUCUCAGGUGUGCAUGAUUGCGCGCAUGCAGGACUGGCCCCCGGUUCAUCGGCGCUGAGCACCACACCACACAAAUACACAUUAAAGCGGAGAACAUUAACACCCCAACUCGCACACAAGCGCCACCGCGCCUUCUGCACCGUCUCCAAGAGCGAGCGAGAAGCGAGAAGAACGAGCGCCGGGCAAGGCAGUCACGCACGCACAGCCAGUGCCAAAAGGAAGCACACGGGCAACAUGUCUGCUUUGAACAGCCGCACCGUCGAGGAGGUCCGAAAGGACUACGCGAAGCUGCUGGACCCACAGGAGCCAUUGGACAGCCGCAUGCGCGAGCUUUACCGGCUCAAAGAAGAUUGCCUCAAGACCGCAGCCGGUGUGACGGUAAUCCUGGAGACCAUCGACACCACCGAUUCAGUCUUGCUGCAGCACGAGCUGGCCUACAACGCUGGCCAGAGCGGCCGCGAGGAGGCCGUGCCGGAGCUGGAGCGCAUCCUGCGCACCACUAGCUACGAUGUCGUGACGCGGCAUGAGGCGGCUGAGGCGCUUGGGGCCAUCGGCUCGCCGCUCGCGCUGCAGGUACUCGAGGCACAUAGUGACCCCACCACAGAGCCGGAAGCGCCGAUACGCGAGACCUGCGAACUGGCAUUGGCCCGAAUCGCCAUGAAAGAAACGAAGGGUGACGCUGCCGUGGCUCCGCCAAGCGGAUGCGAGUUCGUGUCUGUGGAUCCGUCGCCGGCGUUUAGCGCGCUGUAUUCCAGCACUGACGAGCCAGUGCCGCACACCGUGGAGGAACUGGAGGCGGUGCUGCUGGAUACGUCGGGCCGCACACGACUGUUCCGCCGUUACAUGGCCAUGUUCACCUUGCGCAACUUGGCGACGGAGGCGGCGGUCGCCGCGCUCUGUCGUGGCCUUCGCGAGGAUAACGUCUCGGCACUGUUCCGCCACGAGGUGGCUUUUGUCCUCGGGCAACUCGAGCGCCCGAGUAGCCAGCCAGCUCUGAUUGCGGCUCUUAAGGACGAAGAGGAGGCACCGAUGGUGCGGCACGAGGCCGCGGAGGCGCUCGGCGCGAUCGCCGAUCCGGCGACGCUGCCAGUGCUAGAGAGCUACGCUACACACCACGAGCCGAUCGUCCGCGAUAGCUGCGUGGUGGCGCUGGAAAUGCACAAGUACUGGGCGAACUUCAACAGCCUCGCUCAUCAGCAGCAGCAGGAGGCGUGAGAGGGGUGUUCAACAGGAGAGUAAGGCAAGGUGACUGCGGUGUGUGGUCAUGCGUGCUGUGUGGCCUCUCCAGCCCCCUCCCUCCGGUUCUUUUUCGUGUCUCUGCUUGACGCGUUCUGUGUAUCCUCAAGAAACCAGAGUUAUUGUCUUGCUUAAUGCCAGUAUGCGAGGCCUGUUUCUCUCGCCGAGGCCUUUUAGUCAUGUGUGUGUGCGCGCAUGCAUGGGGGUGCACGUUCUGCUGUACGUGGGUUCGACGCUGUGUAAUCACUAAAAUGCCAU
rnacentral:misc_RNA from 1 species